UACGUAGGGUGCAAGCGUUAAUCGGAAUUACUGGACGUAAAGCGUGCGCAGGCGGUUAUGUAAGACAGGGGUGAAAUCCCCGGGCUUAACCUGGGAACUGCAUUUGUGACUGCAUAGCUAGAGUACGGUAGAGGGGGAUGGAAUUCCGCGUGUAGCAGUGAAAUGCGUAGAUAUGCGGAGGAACACCGAUGGCGAAGGCAAUCCCCUGGACCUGUACUGACGCUCAUGCACGAAAGCGUGGGGAGCAAACAGG
rnacentral:rRNA from 1 species